CACAGCCUCCUAAAGCUUACAAGCCGUGAAAUGAGAAAAUUGGCAACGUUGAAGCUAGUCCGAUGGUAGUCCAUAUUUACUUUGUUUACAUUGGGAGUUAUGCUAAUUUUGUUAAUUUUUAGUGUAUUAUUGGUGAAUUAUUUGAUUAAAAAAAGAAAAAGUUUUCUCUAUUAACUACUGCAACAGAAGAAGAGGUCCAGAUGACCAAGACAUGAAGACUCGGGGAUCCACAACAGAAGCAGUUCAAAGGAGAGCGUGCAACAGUGGAACAUCAGUGAAGAAAUGAAAUAUAUUAAGUGAAUGUAUUAUAAAUAUUAUUAGGGCAAUAAAUGUAUUUAUUUUUA
rnacentral:lncRNA from 1 species